rnacentral:rRNA from 1 species
UACGUAGGGUGCGAGCGUUGUCCGGAUUUAUUGGGCGUAAAGAGCUCGUAGGCGGCUCGUCGCGUCGACCGUGAAAACCCGCGGCUUAACUGCGGGCUUGCGGUUGAUACGGGCGGGCUAGAGUUCGGUAGGGGAGACUGGAACUCCUGGUGUAGCGGUGAAAUGCGCAGAUAUCAGGAGGAACACCGGUGGCGAAGGCGGUUCUCUGGGCAUUACCUGACGCUGAGGAGCGAAAGUGUGGGGAGCGAACAGG